rnacentral:rRNA from 1 species
CAGCAGCCGCGGGAAUACGUAGGGUGCAAGCGUUGUCCGGAAUUAUUGGGCGUAAAGAGCUCGUAGGCGGCCUGUCGCGUCGAAUGUGAAAAUCCGAGGCUCAACCUCGGACCUGCAUUCGAUACGGGCAGACUAGAGUUCGGUAGGGGAGUCUGGAAUUCCUGGUGUAGCGGUGAAAUGCGCAGAUAUCAGGAGGAACACCGGUGGCGAAGGCGACUAUCUGGGCCAACACUGACGCUGAGGCACGAAAGCGUGGGGAGCAAACAGGAUUAGAUACCCCAGUAGUCCCUGUCUCUUAUAA